GCACCCUGCCGUGGGCAGGGGGAGCUUUGGUGACAGACGGUGCUCUUGUGGAGAAGACAUGGAAUGGCUUUCCUGAGUUAUUUCUACCGGAGGUGCUCAAAGGGAAAAGUAUACCGAAAUGUGUCUCACCACCGUUACUGAAGGUAUGGAGGAAAGAAUAGAUCCCAAGAGAAGAAAAUCAUGGAAAACCUGAAGCCAAGGACUGGUUUUCAAGGCUGAAUUCCACAAAUCAGUUUUAACAGACAUUGUACUGAAGUGUUUGACAUAACCCUCUGGUCCAGUGCUUCAGAAACUGUUAGUAACUAACUGAAGAGCUGUAAUAACCAACUCUGUGGUCAUGUUUAACGUUCCUAGUACUGAGAUUCAGCUUGCAGAUUUUCAGCCACAGUAUUUGAAGCUGGGCCAGUUGAUUUUAUCUGGAAAAAUGUAAUAUGGUCAUGCUUAUUUAAUGGGUUUCUGUCUCUUGAUGGCUCCUCCUGCUCCCUGCUUCUCUUCCUUCAGGCAUGCUGCCCAUUUCUCUUGCACACUGCUACGGCAGCAUGAAGUCCUUAACAGCCACUCCUGCUUCCCCACUGCUGUAUAUGAACAACUUCUAGGAAAAGUGUAUUUACUAGUGUGUUCUCUAUGCUGGAGACUCAGAGCAGCAUUUGGAGAGGAGUACCCAGGUGACCUGUUCGCUUUCUAGCAUAGUGCCUGUCCGCUGGAUUCCUGUGGUACAGGUUAUCCUUGUGCCCGGGUACGCUAUGCUGCCAGCUGGGAAUUAGCUAUGGAACAUACACGUUUCGGACAGCUAGUCUGCGGAGCCAGUGUCCUAGCACAACAGUGCUGCUUGAAAAUAACCAAGUGGAGUGAACUGUACCAAAAAACCCAACUCAGCAAUUUGCUAUUGCAAACAGAUUUAAGCGGCUUAUGAAAAUAAGCACCUUAUUCCCAUUUUGUUUGCAUUUCCAUUUAUUUUACAAGGCAUCGUUCACACAAUGAUAACAAGGUACUGAUCCAAACAAUUCUGUAACAAUUAAAAAAGUAAACAUUUGUUGUGACCAUGUACAUUAAAUUGCACUUUUAAUAACAAGCAUUACACUUAUAUUUCUGUAUUAUACUUUAUAUAAUACAUGGAUUUGUUACACAAGAACUGGCAGUACUAAGCUGUUCUCAGUUAAAUGUCUUACAGCACUAUAAUCCUCUUUUUUCCCAAGUCUAGCUAGUAAAGUAUAUUUUAUAAACUAGGGCCAUAACCAGAUAACGAAUGCAACUACAAACCUGGAAAAUGUCAUUGUUAAUCAGCACGAUGAAGCUGCUCUCUAUUUUCCGUGUGCUGAAGUGAAGCCACCUUGAAUGGCAGACAAAGUACUCUGGAUCAGAAUCAUACUUGAUUAGACCCUUUUCUGCUUUGCCAUCUUUUCCCUGUUUAAAUAAGCCAGAGACUCCUCUUACAUGGGAAAGCAAUAAUUCCCAAAGCUCAAGAGAGCUCCUGGUAGUUUUGAAGGUGGUAUCAGUACCAGUGUGUCCCUAAGAGUUACUGGAAGGAGGGAAUUGGAAUCUGGAGAAAAAGCUGAGAACAUCUGCUUUUGUUUUCAUUGGUAGUAGCAUCCAUGUAUCAUAUAAAAUACAAAAAUAAGAGAAACUGAAAGGAAAUUAGUACAGCUCAAGAUUCUGGUGGUAUCAAACCACAAAUGAAGUCUGUGAUACCAAAUCCUUUUGCUGUAUUUAUCCCUUUGUGAUUCAGUUUCCUAUAUAUUAUUCUAUAUAUAAGAUAUAGUUUUCCAAAGAUACAUAUAUAUUCCUUUACAGGUUAAAUAAAAGCAAGUCCCACUGAAUAAGAAAAUAAGAGGAAGUAAUGUUCUAGUUCUCUACCCAUAUCUUUUUUUUUUAUUUUUUUCCCAGGUAAAAAUAGCAUGAAAUACAUUCAGUCGCAAAGCAGCUGGAUUCCAGGAGAAAUGGAGAGCCCUGUAUUCCUGGACGAUUAACCUGUAUGUCUUAAGUCAUGAUCCUGAAACAAAUUGUGUAGACUUCUGAGUUAGAAAAGUUAGGCUCUUCAUCAAUGCUGAUAAUUAGUCAUCCAGUUCUAAAUUCUUUGAAUUUCCCAAAACCAACUAUGGAUUAGCCCAGUUUUAAUGGCUGCUGUGAUGUAUACAUAAUCUAACUUGAAAGGUCCAAAAAUCAGUACUUCGUUGUAUCUCCCCUUAGUAUUGUUACUUGGAAAGAGGUAACGGGACAGCUCCCAGUAGGGUAUUAGCAUAAUAGAUGGAAAUAGAAUCUAGUUCAACCCUUCGCGUUUGCGAGAACAACGUGAUGCCUGGUGCUGUGUGCACCCACAGCCCUGGGUAUGCACAGCAUUGUGUGUUUUGUGCAGCCAGCUGUAAGGGUAACAGCCUCUUCUGCAGGGUUUAGCUGUAACAGAGGCAUACUGGUCAACCAAAAUGACAUAUAGUAGGGUUUUCCCUACAGCAGCUGGGAGAAAACCAGCAUUGUAAGACAACAGAGUUUCUGUUUUCAAUGCCAAAGGUAUUUAGACUUACUAGAUUACAUAGAAGUAUGGCAAUUAUCCUUGAGUCUAACAGGAAAUCAAAAUAAGAGGUAUAGUUCUCUGACACAUACAAGCAGUUUCAUAGAUCUCACUGAAGCUGCUUAAAGAAGGGAACAGACUUCCCUGUUUCCUGUGGAGAAAGCAUCAAUUUCUGAUGUGUUUUUUAAGUUUUUUAUGCCGAUAAAGUUAGAUUUGUAUUGACUUCUAAGUGCCAUGUUCAGUCAGCGAGUGAUACCGGGACACUGAAGUCAAUGGGCUCCGUUGUGCUUUGUCAAGGGCCUGAAUUAUUUGUGUUAGACGUUGGAGCUCCCUCUCCUGUUGUAAACAGCUCUUUAUUCCGUGUUGUUUUUCACACAAUGGCACAGGUGAAAGCAUCUAUUUAGAAGAAAUUUUAAGGGCAAACCAAACAGUUUUAAGAACAAUUUUAAGAACAAAACAAUUCUUUAAAAUGUCUAACAAGGAAAAAAAUUGCUUAUCUAACAUGUACAUUAGGUGUAGCAAUUUAGAGAAUAUACUAAUUAACAGGCAAGACAAAGAAACGUUUGUCAGCUGGUAGUACUGAGUACACUGCUGACUACCUCUCCUGAUACAGGUUUUACUAAACAUUCACAGGUAUGGACCUCAGGGACUUUGCAGUUUCUCAGGCAGUUUCUUGGAUUAAAGCCACCCAUGAUAUUUUCUAUGUUACUGUCUUUAAUUCUUUCUAGGUACGUUUAGAAUUUGUUAAAGUAAGUGAAGUGCUAUUACUUUAGUGUAGUAAGUCUGAGUCACAAAGAUAAUCCAAGACUAGUUCACAGAUGUACUGCAUAACUAAAUCAGCCUUGCUUCAUUUAUCCUGUAAAGUGUUACAGUCAAAGUAAAUACUUUUUAAAGUGGAAAAAAGCAGUUGUGUAUUUUUAUUUUUUUUUUUCAUAUUGUAUUGGGCAUCUCAGGAGAAGAUUAGAAUCUGACAAGAUAAAGCAGUUGUACUAAAAAUAUUCUCUGGAGGUUUGUCCCUAAUCAAAGUAAAGGCUUUAUUUCAGAACUUUGUAUUCUCAAUAAAAUUAAAAAAUAAUAUUUAGUUCCAUAAAGAUAUAUUUAUAACAUUCAAAUUAUCUUCAAUACAAUUUUGAUGUUGAUACAUAGUUUGAUACUGACUCAGGAGAAAAAGAAAUGAUUCACUCUAAUCUUAAGAAGUGGGUUCCAGUGCCACAUGAAAAUAAGUUUCAGCAAGACUUUGAUGAUGUUUCCCUCUGAAAAUCUAAAUAUUGAACCAGCUAUCCCUGACAGAUCAGUUGGUCUGGGAUAUGAGUAUUUCUAGCAAGUACUCCAUCAACCGCUGCUGAAAGGACUAAUUAAAACAGACUUUUUUUCUUACAAGAAACUGUGUAUCUCAACAGCAUGUACAGUCAGCAGGCAGCUUUAGCUUGCCUGAUUUAAUCCUGCAGUUUUGCUGCUUUCCUUGUUUCUGAAUUUAACUAUGCUCAUUCAUCAAGAUAAUGACACAGAACUAUUUUUCUCAUUCUUUCAGUAAUUUUGAGAAGAUAGUUUCCACAUAAAUAUUACUCUUCCAGGUGCCUCUGCUACAAAUGCUACCUGGGAUGCACAGAUGGAAGGUGAAAGUCGCUUACUGCCCUUACAUCAUUGCCAAAAGUGGAUAAUUCAGCCAUUGCCUUCUGGAACUUUUUUGCUGCUGUGAGAGGCACAAGAUUCUGCCUUCUCUAGCUGCUUCCUGAAGACUUCCUUCAGCUAGGAGUUGAAGGAGAGAAGUUACACAGUACACUUUGUAAAAAAAAAAGCUUUCAAAAUGCAUCAUCAAAUUAUUCUCUCAAAGUCUUGCUGUGUGUACAACAAUUCUACAUCUUUUUCUACUUCUGAAGAACUGGAAAAUGGCUAGGUGCCUGCACUGUACCUUACAAAGCAUCAGAGCUUAGGCAAGUAUAAGAGACAAACAGAACCAUCAGAAAAAAAGGUUUGUUAACAAUUAUUUCCUGGAGAAACUUGAUACUGUAUGCGUACUGGAGAAUACAAACUUUCUCCUUUCUUUAAAGGGCCAAGCUUAUGUAGAUACAUACUGGGAAUUUUUUGGAUUCUGUGAGGACUAUCCUCACUGAUCUCCGGAUUGAGCACCAGGAGAGAAAUGUAUUUUUCAACAACUGGAUAUAUUCUGUUGACUUCCCCAACUGGGAGAUACAUACUGCACCACAUCACUUUCACCACCCAGUUACUGAGCAGAACAGGCAAUGACUGUAGUCAAAUAUUACUUACUUGCUGGAAAUACAAGAGGGAAAAUGAUAUUACAAGCAACAACAGUGCAGAUAUUGUCUCUGACCUGCACUUUGUUUUUCUCCACUACCGAUGGUAUUAGCUUAUCUACUGCUACAGUGUUAAUUAUUAAUGAGGGUGUUAGUGGUGACUGUGAGCAACAGAAGCAGCUCCACCAAAACCUCAUCUGAAGAGAUGGACUAAGGAUUCCUGCAUUGCUCACUGUGUAUACAAGGCUGUAUGGCAGAAAGGAAAAAUGAGAAGCAACAGAACGGACAAGGGAUAAGGCUGACAUCUCAAAACAAAAGAGCUCAGGGAUAACAAAGGUAUUUUUGACAGAAGACUUGUUUAGGACAUACUUUGGAGGAUCAACUGAAAAUCUUUCCUCCUUUUAUGUGGUCAUUCCAGGUUUUCCAAGCACCUGCCAUGGUGUACAGUAUCACCUCUCCUUGUGAGUGAGGAGUGCAGCAGCACAAAGCUUUUCUUUCAGUGCCACUGAACUGAGGUGGGGUGUGAGAACACUUAAUGGAGCCACUCAUCUGCAGAAAAACUGCUAAAAUGCAGGAGAGCAAAGAAUGGGGCUGGCAAAGGUACAUGUCUAAGAGCUUUGUCAUGAUACUUCAGAACACAGCAGGGGCAGAAGCAGAUAUAAAGCUGCUUUACAUUCCUGGGGAAGACAGAGCACCUCGAUGCAGUGUUUUUGUCUUUUACACCACAAUGCCCACUCCAGCAGGCAAAGUGGUUAUCUGCCCGUGCUUGCUCGCCAAGGUGCCUCAGAAUUUUAGAAUCACACAAAUCCACAUCAGAAAAGCCUAGCUGCCAAGGGUAUGACUAAAUAGAAAUACACUACUGUGGUCAAUGAUGUUUACAAUUCUGAGGUUAGAUAAAGAAGCCAAAUAAAUAGAGAAAAUCAAAUUGAGAGACCCCUGCAGGAAAAGAUUUUACAUCGUAAGAGGCACUACAGCCUUCACUAAGCAAGAUGCUAAUCAUGAGGGGUGGUGGAAUAUGGCCCUCCUGUAUUCCAUACCACACCACUUCAUUAUCUUUUAAUUUAGUUGGCUAUACUGAAAUUGCUGUGAAAAAAAUAGAUCCACGUAAGGUAGCAGACAUUCUGCAAAGCAACUUCCCUUAAAAUCGGUCUUUCGAGGAAUAUGUGAUACCUUUUUCCAGUAAACAUUUGCUCUUUGGUACCUACCUAAAAGAUUAUGGCUUACAUUUUGUAAAAUGAACCGCAACAGAGAAGGUGCGGUCAAUGUUAAUAAUACACUGCUGUGUAUGCCUAUGCCUGCAUCCACGUGGAGAUACAGCAACUAGAAUUAAGGUUGUCAGGAAAACAAAGGCACAAAUACCAAUGCUUUUAGUUUUGUGUAAAUGCUUUCACUUGAGCAAACAACAGGGCUACUAAAACUAGCAUUGCUAAGCUGGAGCUUGGAG